AACGAACGCUGGCGGCGUGCCUAACACAUGCAAGUCGUGCGAGAAAGUUCCUUCGGGAGCGAGUAAAGCGGCGCACGGGUGAGUAACACGUAGGUAACCUGCCCCCCCAGUCUGGAACAACUAGAGGAAACUCUAGCUAAUGCCGGAUGAGACCACGAUCCCCUUCGGGGGUUGCGGCCAAAGAUGGCCUCUACUUGUAAGCUAUCGCUGAGGGAUGGGCCUGCGGGCCAUUAGCUUGUUGGUGAGGUAACGGCUCACCAAGGCUGUGAUGGCUAGCUGGUCUGAGAGGAUGACCAGCCACACUGGGACUGAGACACGGCCCAGACUCCUACGGGAGGCCAGCAGU
rnacentral:rRNA from 1 species